rnacentral:lncRNA from 1 species
UGAGCCUUGUGCAUUAUGUCUGAUGCCACCUUCUGUUUCUUUUUUUUUUUUUUAAAUUUUAUCUAUUAUUUAUGAUAGUCACACGGAGAGAGAGAGAGAGAGAGAGAGAGGCAGAGACACAGGCAGAGGGAGAAGCAGGCUCCAUGCACCGGGAGCCCGACGUGGGAUUCGAUCCGGGGUCUCCAGGAUCGCGCCCUGGGCCAAAGGCAGGCGCCAAACCGCUGCGCCACCCAGGGAUCCCCCACCUUCUGUUUCUUGAGAGAUACAACUCUAAUGUCUCCUUAUAAUAGCAGCGAUGAGGUGGGGCACCUACAUGGCCAUUCUGUGGACCAGGAAGAGCCAUCAUCACUACAUCUGCCACUAUCCACAUCCUUCACCUUGAAGGAUGCCUCAUCUUGAAAGAUUCACUGUAGCAUCUUUGGAUCCAGCAACAGAAUCUGUGACCUUCUUCACCCCAAGUGCCUCAAGUAAAUUUACUUCUGCUAGAAGCUUAGAUCCUGCCAUUCUUCUUAACUGUGCAGCUCACAUAUGCAAGCACAUGAGCAGAUGGCCCAUAUACCUACACAGGUUUCGGCCCAUCACCUCUUUCUUUCUCUUCUCUAAGUAUGGACUACCCAGUGCUUCAUCCAAGGUACUGGCUUUUCAUUUUCUACUUUUCCUUUUUAAAUCGUGUGUGUUUAUUCUUC